rnacentral:rRNA from 1 species
GACGAACGCUGGCGGCGUGCCUAAUGCAUGCAAGUCGAGCGAAGUUUUUCUGGUGCUUGCACUAGAAAAACUUAGCGGCGAACGGGUGAGUAACACGUAAAGAACCUGCCUCAUAGACUGGGACAACUAUUGGAAACGAUAGCUAAUACCGGAUAACAGCAUUAACUGCAUGGUUGAUGUUUAAAAGUUGGUUUUGCUAACACUAUGAGAUGGCUUUGCGGUGCAUUAGCUAGUUGGUGGGGUAAAGGCCUACCAAGGCGACGAUGCAUAGCCGACCUGAGAGGGUGAUCGGCCACACUGGGACUGAGACACGGCCCAGACUCCUACGGGAGGCAGCAGUAGGGAAUCUUCCGCAAUGGGCGAAAGCCUGACGGAGCAACGCCGCGUGAGUGAAGAAGGAUUUCGGUUCGUAAAGCUCUGUUGUUAGGGAAGAAUGAUUGUGUAGUAACUAUACACAGUAGAGACGGUACCUAACCAGAAAGCCACGGCUAACUACGUG